rnacentral:misc_RNA from 1 species
AAAAACGGGUCUUUUGACCCAUUUUUAAAACCCACUACCAAUUCUUACCUUCGGGUUAGUUGGAAGUGGGUUUUUUUCAAACUCCAAAAUUUUAAAUUUUUUCGUCUUAUGACGAAACCCAAAAUUAAUAAAUA